rnacentral:sRNA from 1 species
AUGGCUGUCGUCAGCUCGUGUCGUGAGAUGUUGGGUUAAGUCCCGCAACGAGCGCAACCCUUGUCAUUAGUUGCUACAUUUAGUUGGGCACUCUAAUGAGACUGCCGGUGACAAACCGGAGGAAGGUGGGGAUGACGUCAAGUCCUCAUGGCCCUUAUAGGUGGGGCUACACACGUCAUACAAUGGCCGGUACAAAGGGCUGCCAACCCGCGAGGGGGAGCUAAUCCCAUAAAACCGGUCGUAGUCCGGAUCGUAGUCUGCAACUCGACUACGUGAAGUCGGAAUCGCUAGUAAUCGUGGAUCAGAAUGUCACGGUGAAUACGUUCCCGGGUCUUGUACACACCGCCCGUCACACCAUGGGAGCGGGUUCUGCCAGAAGUAGUUAGCCUAACCGCAAGGAGGGCGAUUACCACGGCAGGGUUCGUGACUGGGGUGAAGUCGUAACAAGGUAGCCGUAUCGGAAGGUGCGGCUGGAUCACCUCCUUUCUGGAAAUAAAGCAAUCUAAUUUAAACGCCCACACUUAUCGGUUGUUGGAAGGAUGUCGCCAACGGCCUGGGUUCGCGCCUGGUCAAACAGCGACCGGCUCGGGUCUGUAGCUCAGUUGGUUAGAGCACCGUCUUGAUAAGGCGGGGGUCGUUGGUUCGAGACCAACCAGACCCACCAUUCCUCAAUCUCAAAACUUGGGGGAUUAGCUCAGCUGGGAGAGCACCUGCUUUGCAAGCAGGGGGUCGUCGGUUCGAUCCCGUCAUCCUCCACCAUUCUUUCGAUACUUCAUCACUCAACACCAAAGCGGCUUCGCGAGAGGCUUCUUUGUUGUUGAUCGGGAUCUCCCGAUCAAUCGGCUGUUCUUUAACAAUUCGUAGAGUCGAAUCAGCGUUGUUAACGGAAACCGCUUUCAUGGCGGACCGUGCCGUUAACAACAUGAAUUUUUGAUUGCGUCAAAUGAACUUCAAUUUCGGGUCAAACCGAUAAUUUGAAGAACGGCAUAACGCGCCAGGUGAAAGACCUGGCCAUUCCUUGAUUGACUUUUGUUUCUCGUGAUUGACUGUGAAGUCUCGUUGCGAGAGGUCAAAGUUAUAGGGUCAAGUGAAUAAGAGCAUGUGGUGGAUGCCUUGGCGAUUACAGGCGAUGAAGGACGUGAUAGCCUGCGAUAAGCUUCGGGGAGCUGGCAAAUAAGCUUUGAUCCGGAGAUUUCCGAAUGGGGAAACCCGG